rnacentral:rRNA from 1 species
GGAUGAGUGUCUUUUUGGGUAAAUUCUCUUGUUGGCUCGUAGCAAUGCACGGGCACUCUACUAGUAUAAGUCGUUUCACACAACUGAAAUUAAAUUGUUUUGCACGAUGUUUGUAAUGUCUACAACGCCUUGUAAAAAGUGAACAGAGGGAGUACAUUCGACGGCUACACACGAACCACCCAAUUUGAGGUGGCCAGUGAUAGGCGCCGGCGCACCGGCCCAAUUUUUGGCCGGUCGGCUGCCGAGCAUACGAUACGGACUUUUCCAACCGUACGAUACAACUUUUCCUUCGUCUUCAAAAAGUCAACCACGCUGGAAAAAAGGUAGUGACCUAGUUCAGGCACGCUCGCCGGCCGCCGCACUUGUCCUCGGCAUCACGUGCUUUCCGUCACCCGUGCCACCGCGUCCGCCCACCCGUGCUCGCCGCUGUUCGUGCCAUUGCGCUCGUCUCGGCUACCUCCGCUCGACAUGGUUGUAGCUCGAACAGAGACGGGUUCCAGCAUGUGGUCACCAUGGUUGCAACAUCUCGGCCGUCCCCGUCUCCGGCUUGCCGCCGUCAUUGGCUUGCACCGCCAGUGCCAUGUCCAGCAAAAACAAAUCUAAAAAGCAACAAAAACCUCCAAUAAACGGUUGAAGCAAAAAGAUUAGCUGGUUCCAGCAAAACUUGAUGCUAUUUCCAGCAAAUAUCAAAAGCAACAAAAACCUCCGAUACUCGGUUGAAGCAAAUAGAUUUGCCGGUUCCAACAAAACUUAAUGAUGGUUCCAGCAAAAAUCUCAGCAACAAAAACAGAUAAGCCAAUUGUAGCAAAUGAAUUAGCCGGUUCCAGCAAAACAAUCUCACUGAAAAAAGAGUCCAGUGCCCAUAGUAGCAAAAAAAAUGACGGUUCCAGCAAAAAUAAAGGCUGGUUCCAGCAAAAAAUGUGUUGCCUGCCCAGGGCGCGUACGGUUCCAGCAAAAAUAAAGGCUGGUUCCAGCAAAAAAUGUGUUGCCUGCCCAGGGCGCGUCCGGUUCCAGCAUCAAGGGACACUGGUUCCAGCAUCAACAUGUGCCGGUUGCAGCUCCCUGUAGGCCGGUUCCAGCAUCGCUGCGUGAGCAAGAACCAGUCGCCGUCGUCGCGCACAAUGGUGACGUAGCGGGUGAGCGAGCUUGCAGCCCAGUCGUCGGGCCCUUUGCUCGCAGCUCCAAGGAGGGGAGCGUGUGUGUGCAGCAUGUGCUUGUUCUCAACCUCGUCGAUCCAUGGCGUACUGCCUAGGAUAUGAGAGAGAAAAGCAAAAAAAUGCAAACAGCUCACCCCCUCUCAUGGAUAUAUGGUGGAAAAUGUCGCGGGGAACAGAUAAGGCAACAAAAACGAACUUGAUUUCAUGAGGAUUGGGUGUGGAUUCCUGAAGAGAGAGCACACGAAGAGAGAUGAGAGAUAUUGAGCAAGGAGGGUUGAAGGAGGAGACGCCUCAUGUGGUCUCAGAAUAUCCAAGGGGAUAAGAUGGAAGCGGUGGAGAUAAACUUGGCUUUGUGGGUGGUGGGCCAGGGUUAUAGCGACGCGAGGGUAGCUUUGUGGGUGGUGAACCAGGACUGUAGAGCGUGGCGACCGGCCG